rnacentral:rRNA from 1 species
CCUACGGGGGGCUGCAGUAGGGAAUAUUGGGCAAUGGACGCAAGUCUGACCCAGCCACGCCGCGUGAAGGAUGACUGCCCUAUGGGUUGUAAACUUCUUUUGUAUGGGAAGAAACCUCCGAACGUGUUCGGAGCUGACGGUACCAUAAGCAUAAGCAUCGGCUAACUCCGUGCCAGCAGCCGCGGUAAUACGGAGGAUGCAAGCGUUGUCCGGAUUAAUGGGGUUUAAAGGGGGCAAAGACGGCAGAUUAGAAAUCUCGCAGCUUAACUGUGGAAAUGCCAUUGAAGCUGAUUUUCUUGAGUUCGAUUGAGGUAGAUGGAAUGUAUCAUGUAGCGGUGAAAUGCUUAGAUAUGAUACAGAACACCAAUUGCGAAGGCAGUCUACUAAGUAGAUACUGACGCUGAGGCACGAAAGCAUGGGGAGCAAACAGGAUUAGAUACCCCUGUAGUC